rnacentral:rRNA from 1 species
GACGAACGCUGGCGGCGUGCCUAAUACAUGCAAGUCGAACGCACUGACGUCGACAGAAGGUGCUUGCACUGGAAGUUGAUUGACGUGAGUGGCGGACGGGUGAGUAACACGUGAGUAACCUGCCCUUAAGCGGGGGAUAACAUUUGGAAACAGAUGCUAAUACCGCAUAAAAGUUGAGAUCACAUGGUCUUAAUUUGAAAGACGGCCUUUGGCUGUCACUUAAGGAUGGACCCGCGGCGUAUUAGCUAGUUGGUGAGAUAAUAGCCCACCAAGGCGAUGAUACGUAGCCGACCUGAGAGGGUAAUCGGCCACAUUGGGACUGAGACACGGCCCAAACUCCUACGGGAGGCAGCAGUAGGGAAUCUUCCACAAUGGACGAAAGUCUGAUGGAGCAACGCCGCGUGAGUGAAGAAGGUUUUCGGAUCGUAAAACUCUGUUGUUGGAGAAGAACAGGGACUAGAGUAACUGUUAGUCCUUUGACGGUAUCCAACCAGAAAGCCACGGCUAACUACGUGCCAGCCGCCGCGGUAA